AAGGGUAUAAGAAAUUAAGAACAUUAACCGCCCGUUUAAGUUGUCGGCAUUUGAAAAAAAGUUAUGCCAAAGUCUACCGGAGAAUUGAUGGCUUGUGGGAAUACCAUGGGAGAUACUGCUAAGCAGAAAACAUGGUAGAGAACAGUACCUGCUUGUACUUGGCGGACAAUUUGGAAGGAAAAGAACUCAAGACGCUUUAAAGAAAGUAGCAGCCAUAUCAGAAAAUCAAGAUGACAUGUCUUCUUUUAUUUUAUUUUUGGUGAAAAUGAGAUAUUACUGAAGAGGCAGAAUCUUUAUUAGACAUUAUUGAAUCUGUGUAAGAAGAUUAAGGAUUACUUUUCCUUUGCUUUUUGAACUCUAAAUAUUGUUCUCAGCAGUCUUUGUGCUGGAGAUUUAUAAUACCACUGUAACCUUUCUCAAAAAAGAGAGGACAACCUAAGAUAUUUAUCGAUUGGAAUCUCGAAGUAUUUUUUGAGAAGCAUUAAAAGACCACAAGGAAACUAGAGAAGCUACAAAUACUAGAAAGUUCAGAUAGCAUCAUUUAUUAGGAAAUGCUAUGUAAAAUAAAAGAAUAAAUAACACUACUAUGAUAAGAAUGGAGCUUGGGCCUAACUCAACCCCAAAAGCUAGCUUAUGAGGUGAGGAUUGCCCAAGCCAUAUAAGGAGACCAAGGACCUCAAAUCCCUCCGAUGUGAAAAGCUAGCUUAUGAGGUGAGGAUUGCCCAAGCCAUAUAAGGAAACCAAGGACCUCAAAUCCCUCCGAUGUGGGACAACUCAACAUUUGCAACUCCUAAGAAAUCCGGAAAACACACAAUAUGAUCAAAGUUAUGUGACGACCAUGAGUAUUUGGUCUCUCCAGAAGAAUGUAUAGACUUCACCCACCUUGUCAAAUAAUAAGUGUAGAAUCACCUGCCUUAAGCUGUUGUAUCGUUGGCUAACAACUGCAUAUCUUUACUAGUCAAAUAAGCUUUUCAAAGUACUGAAUCUAAUAAAAGAUCAUGCAAUUUAAAGCCAAACAAGGAACGU
rnacentral:lncRNA from 1 species